rnacentral:rRNA from 1 species
UACGUAGGGGGGCAAGCGUUGUCCGGAUUUAUUGGGCGUAAAGAGCGUGUAGGCGGCCAGGUAGGUCUGCUGUGAAAACUCGAGGCUUAACCUCGAGCUGUCGGCGGAAACCAUCUGGCUAGAGUCCGGAAGAGGAGAAUGGAAUUCCCGGUGUAGCGGUGAAAUGCGCAGAUAUCGGGAAGAACACCCGUGGCGAAGGCGGUUCUCUGGGACGGUACUGACGCUGGAGACGCGAAAGCGUGGGGAGCAAAAGGG